CCUACGGGUGGCAGCAGUGGGGAAUAUUGCACAAUGGGCGCAAGCCUGAUGCAGCCAUGCCGCGUGUGUGAAGAAGGCCUUCGGGUUGUAAAGCACUUUCAGCGGGGAGGAAGGCGGUGAGGUUAAUAACCUCAUCGAUUGACGUUACCCGCAGAAGAAGCACCGGCUAACUCCGUGCCAGCAGCCGCGGUAAUACGGAGGGUGCAAGCGUUAAUCGGAAUUACUGGGCGUAAAGCGCACGCAGGCGGUCUGGUCAAGUCGGAUGUGAAAUCCCCGGGCUCAACCUGGGAACUGCAUUCGAAACUGGCAGGCUAGAGUCUUGUAGAGGGGGGUAGAAUUCCAGGUGUAGCGGUGAAAUGCGUAGAGAUCUGGAGGAAUACCGGUGGCGAAGGCGGCCCCCUGGACAAAGACUGACGCUCAGGUGCGAAAGCGUGGGGAGCAAACAGGAUUAGAUACCCGUGUAGUC
rnacentral:rRNA from 1 species